rnacentral:rRNA from 1 species
CAAUAGCGUAUAUUAAAGUUGUUGCAGUUAAAAAGCUCGUAGUUGGAUUUCUGGUGGGAGCGAUCGGUCUGGCGCUUAGCGCGAGUACUUGCAUCGUCUCCGGCCAUCCUUGGGGAGAGUCUGUCUGGCAUUAGGUUGUCGGGCAGAGGAUCCUCAUCGUUCACUGUGAAAAAUUAGAGUGUUCAAAGCAGGCUUAUGCCGUUGAAUAUAUUAGCAUGGAAUAAUAAGAUAGGACUUUGGUACUAUUUUGUUGGUUUGCGCACCAAAGUAAUGAUUAAUAGGGACAGUUGGGGGUAUUCGUAUUCCGUUGUCAGAGGUGAAAUUCUUGGAUUUACGGAAGACGAACUACUGCGAAAGCAUUUACCAAGGAUGUUUUCAUUAA